CUUCAGACAAUAAUUUCAAGCUAGCUAGAGAUUUUGACAUUUGGAGCCCUAGAAAAUGGUGAUGAGGAGACCUAACUUGGGGAUAGAGAUGGAAGGAUUCUUGAGGAUGGAAAGCUUGAGGUUUUAUUGGUUGAUGCUAAGCGCGUAUAGAGGAAGUUAGGAACCGUUAGUAUUUUGCACCUAGCUCCUUGCGUUUAGUUUUCCUUGUUAUGUCUAGCUUGAUGUUUAGAUCAUGGACUUACUAUAGUAUGCUAUGUUUUGGUUAGUACUUAGACACUUGGGCCUGUGUGCCUCGCUUUGCUUAUUGAUGAGCUGUGACUCUAGUUUGCGGGUCUGUGAACCCUUAUGUUUAUUUUGAGGAUUUGACUUAGCAGUUUAGUCUGGUACCAUCCCGGUAUAGGUGGUUACGACGGUAGCAUCCCCAAACUAUUAGUAAUGAAUGAUCUAUUUAACUA